rnacentral:rRNA from 1 species
AAACCAGCACCUCAAGUGGUCAGGAGGUUUAUUGGGCCUAAAGCAUCCGUAGCCUGAUCUAUAAGUUUCCGGUUAAAUCCACAUGCUCAACAUUUGGGCUGCCGGAAAAACUGUAGAUCUAGGGAGUGGGAGAGGUAGACGGUACUCGGUAGGAAGGGGUAAAAUCCUUUGAUCUAUUGAUGACCACCAGUGGCGAAGGCGGUCUACCAGAACACGUUCGACGGUGAGGGAUGAAAGCUGGGGGAGCAAACCGGAUUAGAAACCCUAGUAGUCC